rnacentral:misc_RNA from 1 species
CCAGAGAUAUACACCAUCUGUGUUACAGGGUUACAAGUAUUAUUACACCAGAGAUAUACACCAUCUAUGUUACAGGGUUACAAGUAUUAUUACACCAGAAAUAUAUACCAUCUGUGUUACAAGGUUACAAGUAUCAUUACACCAGAGAUAUACACCAUCUGUGUUACAAGGUUACAAGUAUUAUUACACCAGAGAUAUGUACCAUCUGUGUUACAGGGUUACAAGUAUUAUUACACCAGAGAUAUACACCAUCUGUGUUACAGGGUUACAAGUAUUAUUACACCAGAUAUAUUCACCAUAUGUGUAACAAGGUUACAAGAAUUAUUACACCAGAGAUAUGUACCAUCUGUGUUACAGGGUUACAAGUAUUAUUACACCAGAGAUAUGUAUCAUCCGUGUUACAGGGUUACAAGUAUUAUUACACCAGAGAUAUACACCAUCUGUGUUACAAGGUUACAAGUAUUAUUACACCAGAGAUAUACACCAUCUGUGUUACAGGGUUACAAGUAUUAUCACACCAGAGAUAUUUACCAUCUGUGUUACACAGUUAAAAUACCUAUCUGCCCCCAUAAAAUAACCAUCUACAAUCUACUGUAGCCAUAAAAUACCUAUCUGCCCACAUAAAAUACCUAUCUACCCCCAUUAAAUAACCAUUUACCCCAUAUACUGUAGCCAUUAAAUACCUAUCUGCCCCCAUAAAAUACCUAUCUACCCCCAUAAAAUAUCCAUCUACCCUAUACCGUAGCCAUAAAAUACCUAUCUGCCCACAUAAAAUACCUAUCUACCCCCUUUAAAUAUCCAUUUACCCCAUAUACUGUAGCCAUAAAGUACCUAUCUAACCCCAUUAAAUAUCCUUUUACCCCAUAUACUGUAGCCAUAAAAUACCUACUUGCCCCCAUAAGAUACCUAUCUUCCCCCCAUAAAAUAUCCAUCUACCCUAUACUGUAGCCAUAAAAUACCUAUCAGCCCCCAUAAAAUAUCCAUCUACCCCAUAUACUGUAGCCAUAAAGUACCUAUCUACCCCCAUUAAAUAACCAUCUACCCCAUAUACUGUAGCCAUAGAGUACCUAUCUACCCCCAUUAAAUAACCAUCUACUCCAUAUACUG